rnacentral:sRNA from 1 species
GCUGGGCAUGGUGGCACAUACCUGUAAUCCUAGUGACUGGGGAGGCUGAAACAGGAGGAUCACAAGUUCAAAGUCAGCCUCAGCAAUUGUGAGGCGCAAGGCAACUCAGUGAGAUCCUGUUUCUA